rnacentral:tRNA from 1 species
UGGCUCAGUGGAUAGAGCGUCGGUCUGCAGACUCAAGGGUCCCGGGUUCGAUUCCCGG